rnacentral:lncRNA from 1 species
AGUCGAGAGUACAGCUGUGAAUGAACGAUCUGUUUUUUUCUUCAGAAUGACAGAUUGAGCUUAACUUCUCCUCACAUCAGGCUUGUCAUUCCUCCGGUGGAUCCUCGUGCGACUAGAUACCUAAGAGUCUUCCACAAGAAAUGCUGGCUUACUGACUCAGCUAAUCGUAAGGAAUCCAAGCAUGGAUCUUUCGUCUCAAGAGCCAAAGCUGUUUAUUUGCCUGUGUUUACACACGCCGCGAGCCUCAGACUCCCGCCAGAAAAAGUGACCUGUCAGCAGCGCUUUGAGUCUGAGAAGGCCAGGACACAGAGGCACUGCACUAACGUCCCACUGGGCUCAAAGACAGCGUUUCCUCAGACUCAAUCUCAGCAAUCAAAACACUGACAUGGCAAACGGGAUAACAGGACAACAAGUCAGACGCUCAACACUCUUCAACAUGCCACAGAUGCUGCUAUAAGCUCAGAUCUGUUAAGCUGUCAUAGAAGUGUCCUCACCUUCAGUGUCCUGUUAUGUCUCUGAAGUUCCCUGCAGAGUGUCUCCAGCUUACUGCGGGCCAGAAUGGCACGACUGUGUUCGAACUGAAGCUGAUCUCUCUGCUUGACCAGAAGACCCUGUCUCUGCUGAAACUGCUCCAGCUGUUUCUUCUCAGUUCUGUGUUCGUCCACCUGCACAAAACAUGCACAGGUGUGAUACAUACAUCACCACAUACACCAAAAAAACAUUGCUCUUAGACUGUACAGUAUAUUACUUUAGGGAAAAUCUGGAUUUGGAAUGGGGAAAGCUAUCUGGCAUAUAUCGUGUUCUACUCAUCAGUUGAGAUGAAAAUUAGAGAACAACCUACACUGAAUAAAUAUAAAUAUCCGUAAA